rnacentral:rRNA from 1 species
UACGUAGGGGGCCAGCGUUGUCCGGAAUCAUUGGGCGUAAAGAGCGUGUAGGCGGCCCGGUAAGUCCGCUGUGAAAGUCCAGGGCUCAACCCUGGGAUGCCGGUGGAUACUGUCGGGCUCGAGUCCGGAAGAGGAGUGUGGAAUUCCUGGUGUAGCGGUGAAAUGCGCAGAUAUCAGGAGGAACACCAGUGGCGAAGGCAGCACUCUGGGACGUGACUGACGCUGAGACGCGAAAGCGUGGGGAGCAAACAGG